CGUUGGGUAAAUUCAUAUCCUCUGGGCUUUCUAUAUAAAACAGCGGUUUUCUCACUUGCUCUUGCUUACCUUGCUCAGGUCCAGAUGGACCGCGUAUCCGCUGUCCGAGGAGUAAAUGCUUCGAUCCAACAGGACGACAUCCGUUCUCGCUUUGACGAGGAUUUGCCCGAUUACUAAAUUAAUAAAAGUAUUUACGAUAAUGCAAUACGAUACUUUGACUCGAGCACUCUCGUUCUCAUAAAUAAGGCCCGAGGCUUCGAAUCUACCCUCGUGGAUGGUCAUCCAGGAGAGCCAGCAAUUUGGCAAUCGUACUAUAUCGUAAAAUACACCGCACUCUCCUCGUCAUUCGACGUACGUUUAUUAAUUCACAUGUAGUCGAGAACCCUUAAAAAUACGCGCCAUCACCUUCGGCUAUCUGCAGCUUUGCGUCGCUGAAUGUAGAUUAUAGCCUUGACUAGAUUCUUCUUCGGUUGUGCGCGUAUUAAAUAUUGUGUCGUCGUUAACCGGAGCAGAUCUCGGAGUGUUCAUCCCACGAAGCCACCUAUCGACUUGAAACUAGAGUCCGAUUGAGACCACUUUUUUCAAUUUCGGCCGAAACCGCAACUUUAGCGGAAGUUUUACAAAAAUUAAAAGGAAAGAAUAUGAAGAACGAACUUUUAAUGACACGUUUUGAGGAUGACAAGAAUAUCAACAGCAAACUAAAUGCCUACUUUGAGUCAAAGUCGGAAGAUUGGUCUUUGCGCGGUUUUGAUAUGUUCAAGGAUCAACUUGAAAAUGUAAUAAAAAAUAAGGGAGAUUAUAUUUAAUAAAAAGAUUUUAUUUCAUAAAAAAUAUUUAACAUUUUGCGGUCCGCGGCCCACCCGAAGACGCUUGACUAAUGUGUUUGAACUUCUCGAAGACAUAAUACGCAAGUAACCGCGCUUAUUUGAUUGAUUUUCUUCUUAUACAAAUAUUGAUAUCUAAAAAACUAUUGAAUUUAGCGUAUUCAAACAACUUUUAUCGUGAAGUUCAUUCUUUUCUCUAUUAUUAAAUAUCAUAAAAGUUAACUUUUCUGUGAGAGCUUUACUUUCUGAGACCAUCAAUAUCAUUGUCUAUUUUGAACUGGAAAAAAGUCAAACAUAGAUAUAAUCGCCUUUUUAAGCGCAUAAAUUAUAUCAAGAGGGUUAAUAAAAGAAUAGAAAACAUAUUUCUCUUCUCGUUUACAUGUGCUUGUAAACAUUGUUUUUUUCUUCGUGGAUAUAAAUUAAUAUUCUCAUCGCCUGAUGAUUCUGACGAAAUUCGUCUCAAGACACGUCGACGAAAUAUCGGUGAUACAUCACAUCUAUGACCAUAUAAUAUGAAAUAAAAUAAUAUAAAAUACGGCAUAAUACGAAACUAAACAGUAGAUAAAUAAACAAAUACAACUAGAGAACAUGUGUACGAUUGAUAAAUAAUAAACCAAUGACUGAUUGUAACAAAAUUAUUAUUAUUAAUCUGUAUUAGAUAAUAUUUUUUACUUUCCCUCAGCUCUAAAUAGCGUUUACACUGAUAAGAUUUGUCGAUCGACUUGAAUCGAAAGACUAGCUCUGAAAGAACCAUCCUAACACUUGGAGCGAUCGUCACUUGUUUUGACAUAGCUACAAAUCGCUAUUCAUCUGUUUUGCAUGUUGCCAGUUGCUUAAAAUCGCAUUUGUUUCGAUUUAUCGAUAAAACCAAUAUUGUCAGAUCGCGACGGCACAGUGCCGUCGACGGACCGCAAAAUGUUAAUAAAAAGAAAAUUAAAACUAGGCUCAUUUAUUCUCUGUGCAAAACUUCUCAAACGUCUUGUAGUUGAAAUCUAACGUUUCAUCUAGGCCGGUGCCUACAGUCUUUCUCUGUUGGACCACCAAUUAGAAAAUUUUAUAUUAAAUUAGCCAAUCAUCUAUGUGGACUAUCGGAGCUCUCCCUCAUCCCAUAGAGUUAACUGACGUUUCAUCUCGCGUAAAAUACUCUUUAUGUUUCUUGCAUUCUUCCGA